GACGAACGCUGGCGGCGUGCUUAACACAUGCAAGUCGAACGAAGAGCGAUGGAAGCUUGCUUCUAUCAAUCUUAGUGGCGAACGGGUGAGUAACGCGUAAUCAACCUGCCCUUCAGAGGGGGACAACAGUUGGAAACGACUGCUAAUACCGCAUACGAUCUAACCUCGGCAUCGAGGAAAGAUGAAAGGUGGCCUCUAUGUAUAAGCUAUCACUGAAGGAGGGGAUUGCGUCUGAUUAGCUAGUUGGAGGGGUAACGGCCCACCAAGGCGAUGAUCAGUAGCCGGUCUGAGAGGAUGAACGGCCACAUUGGGACUGAGACACGGCCCAGACUCCUACGGGAGGCAGCAGUGGGGAAUCUUCCGCAAUGGACGAAAGUCUGACGGAGCAACGCCGCGUGAGUGAUGACGGCCUUCGGGUUGUAAAGCUCUGUUAAUCGGGACGAAAGGCCUUCUUGCGAAUAGUUAGAAGGAUUGGCGGACCGAAUA
rnacentral:rRNA from 1 species